rnacentral:rRNA from 1 species
CCCGCACAAGCGGAGGAACAUGUGGUUUAAUUCGAUGAUACGCGAGGAACCUUACCUGGGCUUAAAUGUAGAGUGCAUUUUUUAGAGAUAGAAAUUCCCUUCGGGGCUUUCUGCAAGGUGCUGCAUGGUUGUCGUCAGCUCGUGCCGUGAGGUGUCGGGUUAAGUCCCAUAACGAGCGCAACCCUUAUCGUUAGUUGCCAUCUGGUAAUGCAGGGGACUCUAGCGAAACUGCCACCGUAAGGUGAGAGGAAGGUGGGGAUGACGUCAAAUCAGCACGGCCCUUAUGUCCAGGGCUACACACGUGUUACAAUGGUCGGUACAGAGGGCAGCUACCUGGUGACAGGAUGCUAAUCUCGAAAACCGGUCUCAGUUCGGAUCGAAGUCUGCAACUCGACUUCGUGAAGCUGGAUUCGCUAGUAAUCGCGCAUCAGCUAUGGCGCGGUGAAUACGUUCCCGGGCCUU